GAAGGGGCUGUUUUUCAGCCUGCCUCUCCUUGGGAUGCAGUAUGAACACUUGCUCACAGGAGCUGCCUAAUGCUGACAUUCUCAGGCUGCAGAGCAGAAGGCAUCAUGGGAAGCUGAAGCAGGCAUCACUCAGUGUGCUCCCUUCUCAGCUGCUUCCAGGUACUCUCUCCAGACCUCCCAAAGUCCAGGGAAUAUAUGAACAAUUCUACGCACUGGCUGAAACAGACACAUACCAACGGCAGCUUUGUCAAAAGAGUAGACACUGCAACUGACUGAGUGACGAGUGCAACAGAAUAGCUGUCUUCCAACCAACCAAAGGCCAGAACACACGUGGGUGGGCGGCCCUGCAAACCUGCCACUUCUGCAGUGAACCUUUGCAAUGGUCAAGAUGUUCUGGCUCAGCAAGGACUCAGAACAACCAGGAGGUUUGGAGAGCCACUCCAUGGAUCAGAGUACAAAUGUGGAGCAGAGGGAUACUGACCAGAGGGUACAGAUGGAGAUGAAGGACUGACCCUGAGAAGACAAUAAUUACUAGUUUUGUUUACUGUUAGCCCCCUCACCAGUCACCUGGGGCAGCAGUUUUUAUUAAAACCGCUGUAUUAAUAAAAUCAGAAAUGCUGGUUGGGAGA
ensembl:antisense Gm16365 predicted gene 16365